AUGGGACCGACCUGUCAGCUGGAAUCUUCAAUUCAUCCUUUUUCUCACCGGAAAUUCCUCCCUGAUCCCCGACGCAGCCCACGCCCGAUCCCAACUGCCACCACAUGGCCGGACUGCGCCGUGACCGCCGGCGUCGGCGAGGAGCCCAACCCUCCCUCUACUCCUCCCAGCCGCCUGGAUCGACUAUGCCGCGCCAUGGACGAGCGCCAAGGACGCCGCCGCCAUGGACGAGCGCCAAGGAUGCCGCCGCCUCGCCGUCGCGGCUACGCUGCCCGCAACGACAAUUCUUGCGGCCACCGAUGGACCGGCGUCGCGCCAAUCGCUCGCCGCCGCCUCCCAGUUCCCGAUGGCGCGGCCACCUAUGCUCUGUCAUCGCGCCACUCACUCGUCGUCGCCUUUUAG
rnacentral:rRNA from 1 species